rnacentral:tRNA from 1 species
GAGGGAAUAGCUCAAGUGGUAGAGCACCUGCUCAGCAUGCAUGGGGUCCUGGGUUCAAUCCCCAGGCCCUCC